rnacentral:rRNA from 1 species
AUUGAACGCUGGCGGCAGGCCUAACACAUGCAAGUCGAGUGAGCGGCGGACGGGUGAGUAAUGUAUGGGGAACUGCCUGAUGGAGGGGGAUAACUACUGGAAACGGUAGCUAAUACCACAUACCAUCAGAUGAGCCCAGAUGGGAUUAGCUUGUCGGUGAGGUAACGGCUCACCUAGGCGACGAUCCCUAGCUGGUCUGCGAGGAUGACCAGCCACACUGGGACUGAGAAACGGGCCAGAAGCCUACGGGAGGCAGCAGUGGGGAAUAUUGCACAAUGGGAGCAAGCCUGAUGCAGCCAUGCCGCGUGUAUGAAGAAGGCCUUCGGGUUGUAAAGUACUUUCAGUCGGGAGGCGUUACCCGCAGAAGAAGCACCGGCUAACUCCGUGCCAGCAGCCGCGGUAAUUC